AGUGAACGCUGGCGGUAGGCCUAACACAUGCAAGUCGAACGGCAGCACAGUAAGAGCUUGCUCUUACGGGUGGCGAGUGGCGGACGGGUGAGGAAUACAUCGGAAUCUACUUUUUCGUGGGGGAUAACGUAGGGAAACUUACGCUAAUACCGCAUACGACCUACGGGUGAAAGCAGGGGAUCUUCGGACCUUGCGCGAUUGAAUGAGCCGAUGUCGGAUUAGCUAGUUGGCGGGGUAAAGGCCCACCAAGGCGACGAUCCGUAGCUGGUCUGAGAGGAUGAUCAGCCACACUGGAACUGAGACACGGUCCAGACUCCUACGGGAGGCAGCAGUGGGGAAUAUUGGACAAUGGGCGCAAGCCUGAUCCAGCCAUACCGCGUGGGUGAAGAAGGCCUUCGGGUUGUAAAGCCCUUUUGUUGGGAAGGAAAAGCAGCAGGUUAAUACCCCGCCGUUCUGACGGUACCCAAAGAAUAAGCACCGGCUAACUUCGUG
rnacentral:rRNA from 1 species